UCGUGAGACAGUUCGGUCCCUAUCCAUCGCGGGCGGAAGAAACUUGAAAGGGGCUGCUCCUAGUACGAGAGGACCGGAGUGGACGGACCAAUGGUGUACCAGUCAUGGCGCCAGGCGUGCAGCUGGGUAGCUACGUCCGGGACGGAUAAACGCUGAAAGCAUCUAAGCGUGAAACCAGCCUAAAGAUGAGGUUUCUCAUUGUGAAAGCAAGUAAGGUCCCAU
rnacentral:rRNA from 1 species